rnacentral:rRNA from 1 species
GACGAACGCUGGCGGCGUGCUUAACACAUGCAAGUCGAACGGAAAGGCCCUGCUUUUGUGGGGUGCUCGAGUGGCGAACGGGUGAGUAACACGUGAGUAACCUGCCCUUGACUUUGGGAUAACUUCAGGAAGCUGGGGCUAAUACCGGAUAGGAGCUCCUGCUGCAUGGUGGGGGUUGGAAAGUUUCGGCGGUUGGGGAUGGACUCGCGGCUUAUCAGCUUGUUGGUGGGGUAGUGGCUUACCAAGGCUUUGACGGGUAGCCGGCCUGAGAGGGUGACCGGCCACAUUGGGACUGAGAUACGGCCCAGACUCCUACGGGAGGCAGCAGUGGGGAAUAUUGCACAAUGGGCGGAAGCCUGAUGCAGCAACGCCGCGUGCGGGAUGACGGCCGUCGGGUUGUAAACCGCUUUCGCCUGUGACGAAGCGUGAGUGACGGUAAUGGGUAAAGAAGCACCGGCUAACUACGUG